AUUUCAUGGCAAGACAUAAUACCAAACGUGGACAUGUUCUGCCUGACCGAGAGGGGUAUAAAAAGAGAACGGGCCCUUGUUCAGGGCUCUUUGUUCUUCUUUUUCAUUUUUCUUCGGGUCGAGCCGCAGAGACUUGAACGCAUUUUUCUUUCUUUGUAUUAUUAUUUGUAUUUAAUAAAAGUCAAAAUCCUAACCUUUGAUUAGGGGUUUGUAAAAAGACCGUCUAGCGUUUUCUCGUAUUUCUCUGCCUCUCCUGUGUUGCUGAGAACCCCGGACGCCUUGCAACAGGGGCUCUGCCCCAAAAACCUUCGCUCCGGAAAAGAAGCACUGA